CCUACGGGUGGCUGCAGUGGGGAAUAUUGGACAAUGGGGGAAACCCUGAUCCAGCAAUGCCGCGUGUGUGAAGAAGGCCUGCGGGUUGUAAAGCACUUUCGGUUGGGAAGAAAAGUUUGGCGCCAAUACCGCCGAACCUUGACGUUACUGACAGAAGAAGCACCGGCUAACUCUGUGCCAGCAGCCGCGGUAAUACAGAGGGUGCAAGUGUUAAUCGGACGUGCGGGGGGUGAAACGUGCGUAGGGUGUGAAAUCCCCGGGCUUAAACUGGGAACUGCAUUCGAUACUACAUGGCUAGAGUAUGGUAGAGGGAAGUGGAAUUUCCGGUGUAGCGGUGAAAUGCGUAGAUAUCGGAAGGAACACCAAUGGCGAAGGCAGCUUCCUGGACUAAUACUGACACUGAGGCACGAAAGCGUGGGUAGCAAACAGGAUUAGAUACCCUGGUAGUC
rnacentral:rRNA from 1 species